UCCUUUUUUGUCCUGGAAUAGAUGAGCAGUCACGCAGAUGAGUUCCCUUUGAUUGAACACAGCACUCGGUAGGGAACAAGUCAAUGGUGUGACGCUCUUUUUCAGGAAUGCAGAGCUACAUUUCACCUCUGUUUCCCGUUUUUGGGACUGAAGAGACUCCAACAUGCGAUCAAUAAGCACCUUGGUGGCAGAGCCGAGCUGAAGCCUGAAGAGCUCCAGGUGGACAUUUGCAGACACCUUGCCAAAGAAAAUGCAGAACUGCUGGAGAACUUGUAUAGCACCACCAUCGCGUCCUUCAGUAGCAGCUGGGAAGGGAUCCGGGCAGGUGCCGCCAACUUAGCUGGCAUCAUCCUGGAACACACAGACACUCAGCGUAUGAAAUGGCUGGACCUGGAACAUCUGCUGAUGUCUCUCCGGGUCCUAGAGAAAGACCCAAGUCCCACUGUCCAGCUGGUGGCAACUGAGCUUAUAAGUGACAUCUGUCCUGGCAGAGCGCUUGGCGAAUGAAGCAGAACGGAGACAAACAGAACAAGGCGCUCCAGUGCUCGACGAUGCCUUUCAAGAGGCCUUUGAGAACUUACACAUCGGUAGCCCUGUUGUGCAUCAGCUGUUUUUGCUCCUGUCUGAGAUGCGGAUCUCAAGAGGAAAAUCCGGAAAAGGACAAAAUAGAAGAAUGAACCAGCUCAGAGUCUUUCGUUGUAAGGGUCAUGGCGUCCAUUUUUACAGGUGGCUGUCAAAGGUUGUGUUAAACCAGGCAAUUAAUUAAACUUAUUUAAAUGUGUCCCUAUGACUGUAUCCCCUCCAUACUUGCGUUAGUAAAAGACGGUACCAGGAACAGUCCUGUCUCCACAGACAGCUCUGUUAAUGAAAAUAGAUUACAUCCCCAGGGAUGCUGGGAGCUUUGGUGGGGGAAUCCUCUUUUUGAGUGGCCAAAAAGCACAGUAAAACUUUUUAAAUAGAAGACAGGUAACAGCUUAGCUUUCAGAUCAGAUGCUUACACUUUACACAAACUGGCUCAAAUACAUUUUAAAAGAAACAAGACCAUUGUUUCAGAUGU